GAGGGUGUAGCUCAGUGGUAGGGCGCUUUCUUAGCAUGCACAAGGUCCUGGGUUCAAGCCCCAGUACCUCCA
rnacentral:tRNA from 1 species